rnacentral:rRNA from 1 species
GAUGAACGCUGGCGGCGUGCCUAACACAUGCAAGUCGAGCGAUUCUCUUCGGAGAAGAGCGGCGGACGGGUGAGUAACGCGUGGGUAACCUGCCCUGUACACACGGAUAACAUACCGAAAGGUAUGCUAAUACGAGAUAAUAUGCUUUUAUCGCAUGGUAGAAGUAUCAAAGCUCCGGCGGUACAGGAUGGACCCGCGUCUGAUUAGCUAGUUGGUAAGGUAACGGCUUACCAAGGCGACGAUCAGUAGCCGACCUGAGAGGGUGAUCGGCCACAUUGGAACUGAGAUACGGCCCAGACUCCUACGGGAGGCAGCAGUUGGGAAUCUUAGGCAAUGGACGAAAGUCUGACCUAGCGACGCCGCGUGAGGGAAGAAGGCCUUCGGGUUGUAACCUCUGUCAUGGGGAAGAAGUAAGUGACGGUACCCAACGAGGAAGCCCUGCUAACUACGUG